GCAAAAACGAGAGUGAAAGAAAGGAGGACUGAGAACAAGGUUGUUAGGCCCGCGUGGACGUGAACAAUGUUGCGCAGCAGCUGCUCGUGUCGUGUCGUUGCUUUUAAACGUUUAUUUGUUUGUUUGCAAAACUAGGUGAUAUCUGUGCACAUUAGAAACUGUUUAUUACAAACGUUACACCAUCAUUCUAAGUCACAGUUAAGAAGCAGCCGAGAAGAGUGUUUUUCCCCCUCCCCGGUGCAGAAGAGGGCUGGACUGCAGCGCAGUGUUCUGGCUGGAGCUCUGCCAUUGUUUGAGAUUCCUGACGCGAGUGUCUGGCUGGAAGGAUGUUUUGUGGUGGGAAUGUGGCUGGGAGACUGGCACUGGAAUCAACUUAGUCCUGUAUAACCAUAGUCUGUCUGAACACAUAAUUACAGCUGUCUACUUUUGACUUAUUUGCAGCCUGUUAUUACCCAUAGUCUCGUGUACUUCUACAAUGUAAUCUACACACGUUAUCACAACUUCACGCUUGCACAGAGACAGAAGACAUGAUGCAAACAGCAGAUAAAUCUCUCGAGAGGAAAUAAAUCUGUAACUUCUGAAAUCUGAAAAGACAUUAAACUCACUCUCAG